rnacentral:lncRNA from 1 species
GACCAUCUAGAGUGAUAUGUAUGUUAAGUAUGCAUACAUACAUAGAGUAUAUGGUUAUACUUAUUGUAUAUAAUAUAGUAGUGGCAUUUUAGAAAUAUAUUUAAAAUAUAAGUUUUUUUGAAAAAAUUUCGCGUGGUAAGAUCUAGAGUAUCUUAAUAUGAGUAUAUAAACAUACUCAAACUGAUAAACAAGUAUGAAUACAUACACAAUGUAGUUUAU